AAGACCUGGCGCUAUAGGAGCGGCCGAUGUCGGAUUAGCUAGUUGGUGGGGUAAAGGCCUACCAAGGCGACGAUCCGUAGCGGGUCUGAGAGGAUGAUCCGCCACACUGGGAMUGAGACACGGCCCAGACUCCUACGGGAGGCAGCAGUGGGGAAUUUUGGACAAUGGGCGCAAGCCUGAUCCAGCCAUGCCGCGUGGAUGAAGAAGGCCUUCGGGUUGUAAAGUCCUUUCGGUGGGGAAGAAACCUCUGAGGUGAAUAGCUUUGGAGACUGACCCACAGAAGAAGCACCGGCUAAMUACGUGCCAGCAGCCGCGGUAAUACGUAGGGUGCAAGCGUUAAUYGGAAUCACUGGGCGUAAAGGGUGCGCAGGCGGUUUUGUAAGCCAGACGUGAAAGCCCCGGGCUUAACCUGGGAAUU
rnacentral:rRNA from 1 species